rnacentral:lncRNA from 10 species
CUCCAGCCUGGGUAACACAGCGAGACCCUGUCUCAAAAAUAAACUGCUUUGGGCCGGGCACGGUGGCUCACGCCUGUAAUUCCAACACUUUGGGAGGCCCAGGCAGGUGGAUCACCUGAGGUCAGGAGUUUAAGACCACCCUGGCCAACAGGGUGAAACCCCAUCUCUAGUAUAAAUACAAAAAUCAGCCAGGUGUGGUACAUGCCUGUAAUCCCAGCUACUUGGGAGAUUGAGGCAGAAUUGCUUGAACCUGGGAGGCGGCGGCUGCAGUGAGCCACGAUCACACCACCACACUCCAGCCUGGGCAACAAAGCGAGACUGUCUCGAAAAAAAAAUAAACUGUCUUGCACCUCGAAGGUUGUCUUACCUAGGAAUCUCUCUUGUUCCUCUAUUUUUGAAAAUUGGGGUAGAAUAUGAAAUAUGCGAGUCCUAAAUGUUCAGCUUAAAUUUCGAGAAGUGAACAUAGCACUGUAGCCUAUAUCCUUAUCAAGAUAGAGAAUGUCUCUGUCACCUCAGGUCACCUUGUGCCUCUUCCCACUUGAUCUCCCCCUUCCCAGUCCCUGGGCAGCCUCCCAUCCAGUUUUGUCUCCAUAGAUGACACCUGCCUGUUCAGGCCAGCAUGGGCUCUUGUGUUUCAGAUCUUUCAGCAUAAAUGCCUUUGGGAUUCAUCCAUGUCAUUAAUAUGUGUAUCAGUUUUGUCCUUUUUAAAAAAAAUAUAUAUAUAUUUUAGAGGCAGGAUCUUGCUCUGUUGCCCAGGCUGGAGUGCAGCGAUGUUCUACUGCAGCCUUGAUCUCCUGGGCUUAAGUGAUCCUCCUGCCUCAGCCUCCUGAGUAGCUGGAACUACAGGCGCAUGCCACCAUGCCCAGCUAAGUUUUACAUUUUUUUUGUGGAGAUGGGGUCUCACUGUGUUGCUCAGGGUGGUCUCAAACUCCUGGCCUCACGUGAUCCUCCCACCUCAGCUUCUGUAGUAGCUGGGACCACAGGCAUGUGCCGCCAUACCCAGCUAAUCAUUAUUUUUAUUUUUAUUUAUUUUUGAGACGGAAUCUCACUCUGUCACCAGGCUGGAGUACGGUGGUGCGAUCUUGGCUCACUGCAACCUCUGCCUCCUGGGUUCAAGCUAUUCUCAUGCCUCAGUCUCCCGAGUAGCUGGGAUUACAGGCCUGCCACCAGGCCUGGCUAAUUUCUAUGUUUUUAGUAGAGAUGGGGUUUCGCCAUGUUGGCCAGGCUGGUCUCAGACUCCUGGGCUCAAGCGAUCUGCCUGCCUCGGCCUCCCAAAGUGCUGGGAUUACAGACAUGAGCUACCAUGCCUGGUAGCUGAUUUUUAUAUUUUUUUAUAGACAGGAUCUCGCUUUGUUGCCCAGGCUGGUCUCAGAAUCCUGGGCUCAAGCGAUCUACCUGCCUUGGCAUCCCCAAAUGCUGGGAUUAUAGGCAUGAACCACUGCGCCUGGACAAGAAUAUAUUAACUAUACUCACUAUGUUAUACAAUAAAUCUCUUAGAAAGCCUUUAUUUGAACUUUUUUUCUUUAUAUUGUUUGGAAACAACUACAGUCUCAAGAGCAGUAGAUUGAAUUGUGAUGCAGGUCAGGCCUUUGUAUCCAAGGGUUCCACCUCUGGCAUUCAACCAACCACAGAUUUAAAAUAUUCAGAAAAAUUCCACAAAGUUCCAAAAAGCAAAACUUGUAUUUGCCACUUACCAAGUACUACAUGGAAUCCAUGAGAAUAAAGCAACGUGUAGACGUUAUGUCAGGUAUUACAAAUAAUCUAGAGACGACAUAAAGUACACAGGAGAGGCCGGGCGCAGUGGGUCAUGCCUGUAAUCCCAGCACUUUGGGAGGCCAAGGUAGGAGGAACACUUGAGGCCAGGAGUUCAAGACCAGCCUGGCCAACAUGGCGAAACACCUUCUCUACAAAAAAUAACAAAAAUUUGCUGAGCAUGGUGGCACACACCUGUAGUCCCAGCUACUCCAGAGGCUGAGAUGGGAGGAUCACUUGAGCCCAGCAGGUGGAGGUUGCAUUAAGCCGAGAUUGCACUAGCCUGGGUGACAAAGCAAGACUCUGUCAAAAAGUAGUGUACACAGGAGAAUAUGUGUAGCGUAUAUGCAAAUACUAUGCCAUUUUAUUUUAUUUUAUUU